rnacentral:rRNA from 1 species
UUGUGCUUGCUUGUCUUGCGCUCUCACUGCUCUGACGGAUGCUUUUAUUAGACCAAACCGCUGAGGACUUGAGGGUUCGCCCUCUAGUUCGACUCGUGCGAUGGUGACUCUGGAUAACCUUGACGAGCGCACGUACUCCUCUUCUGAGCGAGACGGCGCUGCCACUUUCGAGUGUCUGCCUUAUCAGCUAUCAACCGUUCGUUAUGCGCGACCGAUGGCUUUGACGGGUAACGGGGAAUCAGGGUUCGAUUCCGGAGAGGCAGCCUGAGAGACGGCUACCACGUCCAAGGACGGCAGCAGGCACGCAAAUUACCCAAUCCCAGCAAAUGGGGGAGGUAGUGACGAAAUCUAACGAUGCGGGCGCCCUUUCUGGGGCCCCGCAAUCGGAAUGGGCACUUUCUAAACAACCUGUUGAGAACCUACUGAAGGGCAAGUCUGGUGCCAGCAGCCGCGGUAAUUCCAGCUUCAGCAGCAUCUAUUAAAGUUGCUGCGGUUAAAAGGCUCGCAGUUGAAUGUCUGUAUCGAGCGCAGGUCAGGUGGACGUUGGGGCGUGGAAGUACGGGCAGUUGGAUGUUCGGAGGGCAUUCGUGUUCGACGGCUCCUUCGGCUUUUCCACACACCCCCGUCCGUGACAAGCCUCCUCGCUCGGGUACAUAACGGGAAUCGGUCAAACGGAGUGUGGUCGGGAGUUGAGGUGCGUGGCUUCGGCUGCGUGCUCCUUCUUUCGGCUGCGUCAAGCUCCAUCGGUUUCACGGUCACCUUGAGUAAAUCAGAGUGCUCAAAGCAGUCGUA